rnacentral:rRNA from 1 species
UUCGCCCUUAGAGUUUGAUCCUUGCUCAGAACGAACGCUGGCGGCAGGCUUAACACAUGCAAGUCGAGCGCCCCGCAAGGGGAGCGGCAGACGGGUGAGUAACGCGUGGGAAUCUACCCAUCACUACGGAACAACUCCGGGAAACUGGAGCUAAUACCGUAUACGUCCUUCGGGAGAAAGAUUUAUCGGUGAUGGAUGAGCCCGCGUUGGAUUAGCUAGUUGGUGGGAUAAUGGCCUACCAAGGCGACGAUCCAUAGCUGGUUUGAGAGGAUGAUCAGCCACACUGGGAUUGAGACACGGCCCAGACUCCUACGGGAGGCAGCAGUGGGGAAUAAUGGACAAUGGGCGCAAGCAUGAUCCAGCCAUGCCGCGUGAGUGAUGAAGGCCCUAGGGUUGUAAAGCUAUAUCAACGGUGAAGAUAAUGACGGUAACCGUAGAAGAAGCCCCGGCUAACUUCGUGCCAGCAGCCGCGGUAAUACGAAGGGGGCUAGCGUUGUUCGGAUUUACUGGGCGUAAAGCGCACGUAGGCGGAUUGUUAAGUUAGGGGUGAAAUCCCAGGGCUCAACCCUGGAACUGCCUUUAAUACUGGCAAUCUCGAGUCCGGAAGAGGUGAGUGGAAUUCCGAGUGUAGAGGUGAAAUUCGUAGAUAUUCGGAGGAACACCAGUGGCGAAGGCGGCUCACUGGUCCGGUACUGACGCUGAGGUGCGAA